AGAGCGAACGCUGGCGGCAGGCCUAACACAUGCAAGUCGAGCGCCCGUAGCAAUACGGGAGCGGCAGACGGGAGAGUAACACGUGGGAACGCGCCCUUCGGUUCGGAAUAACUCAGGGAAACUUGAGCUAAUACCGGAUACGCCCUUACGGGGAAAGAUUUAUUGCCGAAGGAACGGCCCGCGUCCGAUUAGCUAGUUGGUGAGGUAAUGGCUCACCAAGGCGACGAUCGGUAGCUGGUCUGAGAGGAUGACCAGCCUCACUGGGACUGAGACACGGCCCAGACUCCUACGGGAGGCAGCAGUGGGGAAUAUUGGACAAUGGGCGCAAGCCUGAUCCAGCCAUGCCGCGUGGAUGAUGAAGGCCCUAGGGUUGUAAAGUCCUUUAACGGGGAAGAUAAUGACGGUACCGUAGAAUAAGCCCCGGCUAACUUCGUGCCAGCAGCCGC
rnacentral:rRNA from 1 species